AGGGGUGUAGCUCAGAGGCAGACCACCUGCUUUGCAUGCAGAAGGUCCCAGGUUCAAUCCCCAGCAUCUCCA